rnacentral:rRNA from 1 species
AACGUAGGAGACGAACGUUAUCCGGAGUUACUGGGCGUAAAGGGCGUGUAGGCGGUUUGUUAAGUCUGGCGUGAAAGCUCUCGGCUAAACCGGGAGAGGUCGUUGGAUACUGGCGAACUAGAGGAUGGUAGAGGCGUGUGGAAUUCCGGGUGUAGUGGUGAAAUGCGUAGAGAUCCGGAGGAACACCAGUGGCGAAGGCGGUUCUCUGGGCAUUACCUGACGCUGAGGAGCGAAAGUGUGGGGAGCAAACAGGG